AGCGAACGCUGGCGGCAGGCCUAAUACAUGCAAGUCGAACGGUCUCUUCGGAGGCAGUGGCGGACGGGUGAGUAACGCGUGGGAACGUGCCCUUUGGUACGGAACAACUGAGGGAAACUUCAGCUAAUACCGUAUGUGCCCUUCGGGGGAAAGAUUUAUCGCCAUUGGAGCGGCCCGCGUUGGAUUAGCUAGUUGGUGGGGUAAUGGCCCACCAAGGCGACGAUCCAUAGCUGGUCUGAGAGGAUGAUCAGCCACACUGGGACUGAGACACGGCCCAGACUCCUACGGGAGGCAGCAGUAGGGAAUCUUGCGCAAUGGGCGAAAGCCUGACGCAGCCAUGCCGCGUGAAUGAUGAAGGUCUUAGGAUUGUAAAAUUCUUUCACCGGGGACGAUAAUGACGGUACCCGGAGAAGAAGCCCCGGCUAACUUCGUGCCAGCAGCCGCGGU
rnacentral:rRNA from 1 species